UUCGUAGGCGGUGCGGCAAGUCGGGGGUGAAAUCUUCAGGCUUAACUUGGAGACUGCUUCCGAAACUGCCGUGCUAGAGUGCGGGAGAGGCGAGUGGAAUUGCAGGUGUAGCGGUGAAAUGCGUAGAUAUCUGCAGGAACACCAGUGGCGAAGGCGGCUCGCUGGACCGCAACUGACGCUGAGUGAACGAAAGCUAGGGGAGCAAACA
rnacentral:rRNA from 1 species